rnacentral:rRNA from 1 species
ACAGAGGUGGCAAGCGUUGUUCGGAAUUACUGGGCGUAAAGGGCUCGUAGGCGGCCAACUAAGUCGGACGUGAAAUCCCCAGGCUCAACCUGGGAACUGCGUCCGAUACUGGAUGGCUUGAAUUCGGGAGAGGGAUGCAGAAUUCCAGGUGUAGCGGUGAAAUGCGUAGAUAUCUGGAGGAAUACCGGUGGCGAAGGCGGCAUCCUGGACCAUUACUGACGCUGAGGCGCGAAAGCUAGGGGAGCAAACGGGA